rnacentral:rRNA from 1 species
UGGGGAAUCUUGCGCAAUGGACGAAAGUCUGACGCAGCGACGCCGCGUGGGUGAUGAAGGCCUUCGGGUUGUAAAGCCCUGUGGGGAGGGACGAAUAAGUCGUGGCUAACAUCCACGAUGAUGACGGUACCUCCUUAGCAAGCACCGGCUAACUCUGUGCCAGCAGCCGCGGUAAGACAGAGGGUGCAAACGUUGUUCGGAAUUACUGGGCGUAAAGCGCGUGUAGGCGGCAAGCCAAGUCGGGUGUGAAAGCCCUGGGCUCAACCCAGGAAGUGCAUUCGAUACUGGCAAGCUAGAGUCCCGGAGAGGAUGGUGGAACUCUCGGUGUAGAGGUGAAAUUCGUAGAUAUCGAGAAGAACACCGGUGGCGAAGGCGGCCAUCUGGACGGUGACUGACGCUGAGACGCGAAAGCGUGGGGAGCAAACAGGAUUAGAUACCCCCGUAGUCC